ensembl:lncRNA
UGUUGUGUUUUAUAGCUCUCCAGUGGCAAGUCACUCUGGAUAAAAGUCCCUGUCAACGACUGUAAAAGUGAAUAUAAAUAUAAGUUAGGUAUAAGGGAUUGAAUGUCUCUUAACAGAAGCCUUUAAGCUCUAAACUCUUUUCCCCUUAAAAAUGACAUCAUGGAAAAUUUAAGACAUGUUUAUCACAGCAGCUGUGCCCUUGAUUUAAACUGUGCACUUGGAGCAGUGAUCAACUCAGUACACACAACAACUAUACAAACUAUACAAUACAAUAUUAUUCUAUAUUUUAACCCUUGUCUUCUUGUUCUUGUAUACAUUAAUGUGAUGCUACCCGGGUUACUAGCAAACAUUUGUUCAACUUAAGAAAUGACGUGAUGAAAUUCAUGUUAGAUCCGAUAUUAAACCACACCAAACCACACUAAUCAUGGCGUUAUUAUUAUUAUUAUUAUUAUUAUUAUUAUUAUUAUUAUUGUGUGUGUGUGUGUGUGUGUGUGUGUGUGUGUGUGUGUGUCAUUCACCAAACCUGUCAUUUAUUAAUAUUACGGAACACAUGACAGAGAAUAUCAUUUAUAUCCUAUAACUAUAUCCUAUAAUCAUAUCUGCAUAUGUUACAGCUGCAAGAUGAAAUAAUAAUCAUUAUUUGUGAGUGGUUGAUUAUUAAGAGAUGAAUGCUUAUAUAUUGUACAGUUUGUCGUAUUUAACACCGUGCUACAUUUAUCACAGGUCUAUCAUAAUUAAUAAGGAAAAUAGAUUGACAAACCUCGCAGCAUCUUGGAGUCAGACACAACGGUGUUCAGAUCUGCAGCGUUUGUGCUCGUGAAUCCGUUUCACUUUCGAUUUUACACAUGAAUCGACUCACAAGACUCAGUAGGACCACCUUUAUAUCUCUUCCAUUGUUUUUUUUUAUUCGGCUGAAUUUCUCCUCACGUCUUACUUACUGAAAUAUUAACAUAAGCCCUUCAAGACUUUAUUCUCAAUAUUAAACACUCGAAUGCCUUUCCACUGUUAUUUCUCAGCUACUGAAUCAUCUAAACGGCUCUUCAGACCUAGGAGUCGGUUCCCAGCGUUCAUCUAAAACGCCCACUCAUUCGUAAACGACACAUCAACUCACCACUAUUCCCAGUGUCUAUUAGGGAAUCGACUCUUUUCGGAUAGAUCCUUUCACAACUAUAUCGGCAGAAAAGAAAAACAGAUGUCUGUGGUAAUAAAGUAAAAGUGUUACAUGAAUUUUAUGACUAGAUGAGUAAACUAUUUGCCUGUCUGUCCUUAAUACUACUAAUUGCUUUAUUGUUUUGUGAGCCAAGGAAUUCUCAUAUAAUGAGCAUAUAGAUAACGUUGUAAAAUAAUGUUGUGGAUAUAUUUAAUUGAAUAUUUCACAGAAAAAUCUGUAAUAUAUUCUCAGUCAUAUUUUG